rnacentral:tRNA from 1 species
GGCCGUGUAGCUCAAUGGCAGAGCGUCUGACUACGAUGAGUAGCCUACUACUUCUCCGAAAUCAGAAGGUCGCAGGUUCGACCCCUGUCUCGGUCA